GCCAAUGAUGCAAUAUUCUUUGACCGAAGUGCGAGUUGUAAGCUUUGCACUAGUGUCGAAAUUUAUUGAACUAGGACGGUCUGAGGC
rfam:Morus notabilis contig19362, whole genome shotgun sequence.